rnacentral:piRNA from 1 species
UUUCCAUAAACCUUUAGGAAUCAGUUC